UACGAAGGGGGCUAGCGUUGCUCGGAAUCACUGGGCGUAAAGGGUGCGUAGGCGGGUCUUUAAGUCAGGGGUGAAAUCCUGGAGCUCAACUCCAGAACUGCCUUUGAUACUGAGGAUCUUGAGUUCGGGAGAGGUGAGUGGAACUGCGAGUGUAGAGGUGAAAUUCGUAGAUAUUCGCAAGAACACCAGUGGCGAAGGCGGCUCACUGGCCGAGACCUGACGCUGAGACGCGACGGCGUGGGGAGCAAACCGG
rnacentral:rRNA from 1 species